CCUACGGGUGGCAGCAGUGGGGAAUAUUGCACAAUGGGGGAAACCCUGAUGCAGCGACGCCGCGUGAGUGAAGAAGUAAUUCGGUAUGUAAAGCUCUAUCAGCAGGGAAGAAAUUGACGGUACCUGAGUAAGAAGCCCCGGCUAACUAAGUGCCAGCAGCAGCGGUAAUACGUAGGGGGCAAGCGUUAUCCGGGUGUACUGGGUGUAAAGGGAGCGUAGACGGCAGUGCAAGUCUGGAGUGAAAGGCGGGGGCUCAACCCCCGGACUGCUCUGGAAACUGUACGGCUGGAGUGCAGGAGAGGUAAGUGGAAUUCCUAGUGUAGCGGUGAAAUGCGUAGAUAUUAGGAGGAACACCAGUGGCGAAGGCGGCUUACUGGACUGUAACUGACGUUGAGGCUCGAAAGCGUGGGGAGCAAACAGGAUUAGAUACCCGGGUAGUC
rnacentral:rRNA from 1 species